ACUGUCAGAAACUGACUUCCUCUGACCACGCGCAGAACGGGGUUGUGUGACUACCCUGCCCACACAGCAAAACAAAUUCAAUAUGUCGACCGCGAUGUCCCGUUAUAACGGAUUUAACGGCUCUCUGGCUAAGCCAGCGGGAUGAGUUUUAAGUAAUAGCUUGCUCGGUUGUUUGGAACAUUUUGAUUCUUGAGAUUCUUCAUUUUUGUUUAGAUAAUCAGAUCCCCGCACGCCACAUGGAAAGCAAAAAGGAAGUGCAACAAGCUGAGGAAAAAUGGAGUAAAAAGAACACGGAGAGGUUUAGAAACUAAACCAUCACCUUUAUCCCUGGCUCGGCACUGGAGAAGCCUCUUCAGAAGAUUGUGAAUAAUGGUGUGAUGGUGUUAGAGGAGGAGUGUGGAGGUGUGUGUGAGCCAAGCCAGGGGGUAGCACCAUGCAGGCAGGAGGAGAGAAAGCGGCCAUCUCCCCAGGGUGUGCUGCUAUCUCUAGGCCCGGUGAUGAUGGUAGUAGGGGGUUUCCUGACUUUCCUGACUCUGCAAGGUCCAGGGCUCUGGAUGGGGGUGCUGAUGGCUGUUACCGGGGCAACACUGACCAUCGCUGGGCUCUGUAUUUUAAUGACAACGCUACAGGUGUCGGAUGUACCUGGACACUUCCUGUUACACCCCCGCACAGGAACGCGCUAUAGUCCACACCAGGCCCUAGCCAUCCAGAGGAGGUUGGACCGGAUACGGAGAGAGAUGUCUGAGGACUCUGUGCAAGUGCCCCCCUCUCCACCCCUCCCUUUGCCCCCCACCCCUCCUCCCUGGGACCUGGAGGCACCCCCCUCCUACGACUCUGUCAUGAAGAGCCGGGGUCCCUCUGACCUCUGAGGGCUGAGGAGACUACUGUUCUGUAACUUUGGACAAUUCCCUUUGUGCCAUUACAGUGAACUAAAUCAAGCACACCCGUGCUGGGAGAGACGUUGUUCUGGAAUGGAGGGGCUGUAAGGGGUUGAACGCCUCAGCGUUGUUUACAUGUUAACAUGACAGGUUUACAUAUUUGUUUGAAGAAUGAGGUGUGUUUAUAAUGCUACUAUUAAGACUACUAUAGUGUGAUACACCGCACUCCUAUAAAGACGUAUAUAACAAAUAUAUAUAUUUUUUUACCUUUCCACCACCUGAAGUUGUUGAUGCCACUUUUCAAGUCCGCUCGACACCCAUAUAUUUGUAGUGGAACACUGAGCUACACCAGGCAGCGAGGCCAGCUGCCAGCAUCUACCCAGCACUAAGCAUUCACUAUGCAGAAGCAUUCAGCCUUUAUUACCAGUCCAAAUGCAUAACCCAGCCUUUAAAACCACUGUCGGACUUUUUUGCUGCUUUGGACUCCAUUAGCUGUUUGUGCUGUGACUGCUUGGGGAGGUUGUGUCAUUCUCCAGUGUGUGAGUGCGGGUGUGUGUCUCUGUGGUCAUGAAUGCACCACGGAUUCUUUCUAUUCACACAGCUGACAUCAGGAGACAGAUGAUCUCAACCAGAAGUGCCUUGUUGUCACAGCACACAGUUAUCCACAGCAUUAUUUUCUCUGUCCCACUGCUGCAGGGUUCCAUUCUAUCCACUGUUGCACUUCCUGUUUGACUGGGAUGUCAUGAUCAACUUUAGUAAAUUAAUAGCCAAAGAUC